CCCUUGUUCAAGUUGUCAGGAAUCCAUCCUGGCUUCCCACCUGCAGUUGUGAAGUAUGUUACCAUAGUCAGAAUAAAAGAGCUCAGAUAAUUGCCCAAAGAUGUUGUCAGAAGUGACAAUGCACUGCAUAAACUCCGCAUGGCAUCUGGAGAUUGCUCAUAGAAAAAUUCAAGCUGCCCGAUAAAUGUAAAGACCUCCGCAGCACCUACAAACAUAUAUUGGGGGAUUUGCCAAAAGAU
rnacentral:misc_RNA from 1 species